GGCAGCAGUGGGGAAUCUUCCGCAAUGGGCGCAAGCCUGACGGAGCAACGCCGCGUGAGUGAAGAAGGCCUUCGGGUUGUAAAACUCUGUCAUCAGGGAAGAAGAAAGUGACGGUACCUGAGGAGGAAGCCCCGGCUAACUACGUGCCAGCAGCCGCGGUAAAACGUAGGGGGCGAGCGUUGUCCGGAAUUACUGGGCGUAAAGGGCGCGUAGGCGGUUAUCCAAGUCAGGGGUGAAAACCUUGGGCUCAACUCAGGGCCUGCCUCUGAAACUGGGUAACUUGAGGGCAGGAGAGGGGAGUGGAAUUCCCAGUGUAGCGGUGAAAUGCGUAGAUAUUGGGAGGAACACCAGUGGCGAAGGCGGCUCUCUGGCCUAACCCUGACGCUGAGGCGCGAAAGCGUGGGGAUCAAACAGGAUUAGAUACCCUGGUAGUCCACGCCGUAAACGAUGAGUGCUAGGUGU
rnacentral:rRNA from 1 species